GCUGGGAUACCCUGAGUCAGCCUGAGUCUGUGAAUUACAUCUUUUAAAAUGUAAUUCAUUGGUCCUGCUCUGCAACUUAAACUCCCAUGUGAUUCUGACCUUUAACCCUAAAAACCAACGACCUGAAAAAAACACGUCCUCGAAGUGAAGAUAGAAACUCAAGAGCAGAGACAGUCGUUCAGCUGCGUUUGACAUAGUUCCUGAGAACCAGCGUGAGGUUGUAAACGUGUGUUGAGCAGAAGCUCAGCAGGGUGUUGCUGCUGUUCCAGUCCUGGAGUCGACAGGAUGUUUCUGACUGAGCUGUUAAUCUGGUGGAGCCGUGGCCUUCGACACAGAUCAACAGGAAGUGAACGCAGCCUCUGAAAACAGCCGGCGGCUCUACUGCGUCAUGGCCUCGCCUCUGACCUUCCCCGGGAGAGACGCCAUUUCCUCUGCCGCCUCACAGUGACGAGUAAAGAUCCGGAAUCAUGAUCAAAAAUAAAACUGAAGCCAGUUCCACUGUGAGGAGAUGCUGAGCCUUUACAAGACUGUUAGAUAUCAUGUGAUCUCUCACACACAACCAGUAAACUGAAGAUAUAUAUAUAUAUAUAUAUAUAUAUUUAUUUAUCACUCCUCAGAGUUUUACUCAAACAGAGAUAAACCGGUUUAAACCGGAGGCGAGGAGACACGUCUAUCUUCUGCCUUCACCCAAGACCUGCUUCCACUGAGUCUGAACAUUCAGCCUGUGAACUGCAGCUCCAUCAUCUGAAGACAGGAACUGGUUUUAGUGGUUUCCAGCAGCCGGAGGUUCUGUGUACAAACGGCUCACACUGAUAAUGUUUGACUGGAUUAUUGCAUUUGGAUAUAAAGGUUUUGACCAACGUGUUCCUCAUAAACUGACACCUGAUCCUAUUCUUUAAUUCAAAUCAUAAAAAGCAACACAUUAGUGCUGCUGAGAUGGAAUAUAAAAAUACAAGAAUACUUGACUCAA